GCCAGUGUGGUGUAGUGGUUUGAGCACUGAACUACGACUUUGGAGGUCAGGGUUUGAUUCCCUGCUCAACCA